CAUUUGCUUGUGUAUAUAUUUAUUUUCGCAUAAUUUAUAAAUAUACAAAAAUAUAAACCUCCAUUUUUUCUUAAUUAUAUAAAGACAUGUUUUUAUAUAUGCAUAAUAAAUAUACACAGUACACGCAUGUGUGCAAACUUUAAUUCUGGAUGCAGUCGUUCCUUAAAGAUCAGUUUUACUGAAGGGACCUGUAGACUUCAUUAGUAAUGCUUUUGUUGCUGUCCGGGCGAGAGGAAUAGUGUGUGUGUGUGUGUGUGUGUGUGUGUGUGUGUGUGUGUGUGUGUGUGUGUGUGUGUGUGUGUGUGU